rnacentral:rRNA from 1 species
GAUGAACGCUGGCGGCGUGCCUAAUACAUGCAAGUCGAGCGAACAGACGAUGAGCUUGCUCCUUUAACGUUAGCGGCGGACGGGUGAGUAACACGUAGGUAACCUACCUAUAAUACUUGGAUAACUUCGGGAAACCGGAGCUACUACCGGAGAAUAUUUCGAACCGCAUGGUUCGAUAGUUAAAGAUGGCUUUGCUAUCACUUAUAGAUGGACCUGCGCCGUAUUAGCUAGUUGGUAAGGUAACGGCUUACCAAGGCGACGAUCCGUAGCCGACCUGAGAGGGUGAUCGGCCACACUGGAACUGAGACACGGUCCAGACUCCUACGGGAGGCAGCAGUAGGGAAUAUUCGGCAAUGGGCGCAAGCCUGACGGAGCAACGCCGCGUGAGUGAAGAAGGUCUUCGGAUCGUAAAACUCUGUUAUUAGGGAAGAACAAAAGUGUAAGUAAAUGUGCACGUCUUGACGGUACCUAAAGAGAAAGCACCGGCUAACUACGUG